UUUAAUAAAACCUAUUUAUUUUGACGGCAAUUAAUCUUAUUAAAGGAACUUGUUUAUUAAUCGAUAAUACACGAUAAUUUUCACUUUAAUUAUAUAAUUUAUAUAUCGCCCAUUUAAAGAAUUAAUUUCCAUAAAUUAUUCUAAAUAUAUAUAUAUAUAUAUAUUAUAAUAAAUUAGGUCAAGGUGUAAUUAAAAUUUUAGAUAAAAUGAGUUACAAUAAAAAUAUUUAAGAAUUAAUAAAAUUAAAGUUUUUUAUGAAAAAGAAUUUAUAUGU
rnacentral:rRNA from 1 species